AGCGUAAUCACUUGUUUUUUAAAUAAAGACUCGUAUGAACGGCUAAAUGAGGACAAACCUGUCUCUUAUAACUAAUCAGUGAAACUGAUCUUCCAGUCCAAAAGCUGGAAUAACCACAUAAGACGAGAAGACCCUGUGGAGCUUCAAACCAACCGCCAACAAGCAAAUAUAGUUGCACCUGGUGUUCGGUUUUAAGUUGGGGCGACUUUGGAACAAAACAAAACUUCCAAGCACAGAGCCACACCCUCUAACCAAGGCCUACAAGCCAAAGUUCGAAAAUACAGAUCCAGUAACACUGAUCAACGGACCAAGUUACCCCAGGGAUAACAGCGCCAUCUUCUUCAAGAGUCCAUAUCGACAAGAAGGUUUACGACCUCGAUGUUGGAUCAGGACACCCAAACGGUGCAGCCGCUAUUAAAGGUUCGUUUGUUCAACGAUUAACAGUCCUACGUGAUCU
rnacentral:rRNA from 1 species